AGUAAAGUGGCGACCGGGUGAGUAACACGUGACUAACCUACCUUCGAGUGGGGGAUAACAUCGGGAAACCGAUGCUAAUACCGCAUAACAUCGCAAGAUCAAAGCAGCAAUGCGCUGGAAGAGGGGGUCGCGGCUGAUUAGCUAGUUGGCGGGGUAACGGCCCACCAAGGCGAAGAUCGGUAGCCGGCCUGAGAGGGCGCACGGCCACACUGGAACUGAAACACGGUCCAG
rnacentral:rRNA from 1 species